ACGGGUGCGUAACGCGUAGGAACGUGUCUUGAGGUGGGGGACAACCCUGGGAAACUGGGGCUAAUACCGCAUAUGUCCUGAGGGACAAAGCAGCGAUGCGCCUUGAGAGCGGCCUGCGUCCGAUUAGGUUGUUGGUGGGGUAAUGGCCUACCAAGCCUGCGAUCGGUAGCUGGUCUGAGAGGAUGAUCAGCCACACUGGGACUGAGACACGGCCCAGACUCCUACGGGAGGCAGCAGUGGGGAAUAUUGGACAAUGGGCGCAAGCCUGAUCCAGCAAUGCCGCGUGGGUGAAGAAGGUCUUCGGAUCGUAAAGCCCUUUCGACAGGGACGAUGAUGACGGUACCUGUAGAAGAAGCCCCGGCUAACUUCGUGCCAGCAGCCGCGGUAAUACGAAGGGGGCUAGCGUUGCUCGGAAUUACUGGGCGUAAAGGGCGCGUAGGCGGCUUGGCCAGUCAGGCGUGAAAUUCCUGGGCUUAACCUGGGGACUGCGCUUGAUACUGCUAGGCUUGAGGCCGAGAGAGGGUGGUGGAAUUCCCAGUGUAGAGGUGAAAUUCGUAGA
rnacentral:rRNA from 1 species